GCAUGGAUAGCUCAGUGGUAGAGCGGCUCGUUUACACCGAGUUGGUCGGGGGUUCGAAUCCCUCUCCGUGCA
rnacentral:tRNA from 2 species